rfam:Acyrthosiphon pisum strain LSR1 Contig39273, whole genome shotgun sequence.
GAAACGGCUCUUCUCAGAGCCACCAAAAAAAUGUGACACAUCUAA